GACGAACGCUGGCGGCGUGCCUAAUACAUGCAAGUCGAACGCACUGACAACGGAACUUGUUCCGUUUGACGUGAGUGGCGCACGGGUGAGUAACACGUGGGAAACCUACCCUUCAGCGGGGGGAUAACCGUCGGAAACGAUGGCUAAUACCGCAUAGGUCUUUGAACCGCCUGGUUUAAAGAGGAAAGACGGCUUCGGCUGUCACUGAAGGAUGGUCCCGCGGUGCAUUAGCUAGUUGGUAAGGUAAGGGCUUAUCAAGGCAAUGAUGCAUAGCCGACCUGAGAGGGUGAUCGGCCACAUUGGGACUGAGACACGGCCCAA
rnacentral:rRNA from 1 species